CACGUAGGGCGCAAGCGUUGUCCGGAAUUAUUGGGCGUAAAGAGCUCGUAGGCGGUUUGUUGCGUCGGCUGUGAAAUCCCGAGGCUCAACCUCGGGUCUGCAGUCGAUACGAGCAAACUAGAGUGUUGCAGGGGAGACUGGAAUUCCUGGUGUAGCGGUGAAAUGCGCAGAUAUCAGGAGGAACACCGGUGGCGAAGGCGGGUCUCUGGGCCGAAUACUGACGCUGGAGGAGCGAAAGCGUGGGGAGCAAACAGG
rnacentral:rRNA from 1 species